rnacentral:rRNA from 1 species
UACGUAGGUGGCAAGCGUUGUCCGGAUUUACUGGGUGUAAAGGGCGUGCAGCCGGAGAGACAAGUCAGAUGUGAAAUCCACGGGCUCAACCCGUGAACUGCAUUUGAAACUGUUUCCCUUGAGUGUCGGAGAGGUAAUCGGAAUUCCUUGUGUAGCGGUGAAAUGCGUAGAUAUAAGGAAGAACACAGUGGCGAAGGCGGAUUACUGGACGAUAACUGACGGUGAGGCGCGAAAGCGUGGGGAGCAAACAGG